rnacentral:lncRNA from 1 species
GACUUAAGAAGGAACUCAACGCAGAGGAAAGCAAAAUGGAGACAUGGAGGGAGACGCCAAGUUCCAGUGACAUUAAGCCCCUGAAUCCCACCAUGGCUGAACUUGCAUUACUGAAGCCCUCCUGAGUUGAAUUUCUGCCUCUUGCAAAUGAAAGAGGCCUGAUGAAUACCCACAUAGUUCAAUUUCAAUAUACGAAGGUUGGCUGAUUGUGGAGGCUAAAGCAACUCUACCUUGCCAGCUUAUCCACCAUGUGGACUUCUAAUUAAUCUCAGUUGCCGGAAUGCCUCUAAGAUUUCUACGUUAUCUACUGUGAAGAGCAAGUAAUUACUGCAAAUCCUGCCCUUGGGUCAAAACAACCUUGAUGACAUAUUCCUUCUGAAGCACAUAUACUCUUUCCCUAGCUGCCUGCCCUGCAGACUUCAGGCUCCAGCAUCAGACACAGAGACCCAGCGUUAUGGAGACUGUCUAACCAGAUCUCACAAUUGUGGAAGAUCCCAACUCCUACAGAAAUCUCUUAAAAACCACGUGUGGCUGGGCACAGUGGCUCAUGUAUGUAAUUCCAGCACUUUGGGAGGCUGAGGUGAGUGGAUCUCUUGAGCCCAGGAGUUUGAGACCAGCCUGGAGCAACAUGGUGAAACUGUGUCUCUACAAAAGAUACAAAAAUUAGCUGGGCAUGGUGGCAUGCGCCUGUAGUCCCAGCUACUCAGGAGGCUGAGGUGGGAGGGUGACUUGAGCCCAGGAAUUGAAGGCUGUAGUGAGCUGUGAUUGUGCCCCUGCACUCCAGCUGGGGUGACAGAGCGAGACCCUGUCUCAAAAACAACCCCUCCCCCAAAAAAGUCACCUGGAUGAGGCCAGGCGCGGUGGCUCAUGCCUGUAAUCCCAACACUUUGGGAGGCUGAGGCGGGCGGAUCACGAGGUUAGGAAAUCGAGACCAUCAUGGCUAACAUGGUGAAACCCCGUCUCUACUAAAAAUACACAAAAUUAGCCGGGCGUGGUGGCGGGCACCUGUAGUCCCAGCUACUCAGGAGGCUGAGGCAGGAAAAUGGCGUGAACCCGGGAGGCGGAGCUUGCAGUGAGCUGAGAUUGCACCACUGCACUCCAGCCUGGGCGACAGAGCAAGACUCUGUCUCAAAAAAAAAAAAAAAAAAAAAAGUCACCUGGAUGAAGCCUGUGCAGCCAUUUCAGCCAAAGAUGCUACUGGAGAUGAUGCCCAACACAAAGAGAGGGCAGAAAUACCCCAGCUUCCCCUCCUGCCUUCCAGCCUCCCACCAGUGCCUUCCAUUGACUGAGCCCAGCAGGAAGGCUGGAAAGCUCAGUCUGCGUGUUCAUCACCUUGGGAAACGGAGCAGAGCAGGCGGAAGGGUAAGGAGGGGAUCGGAUGUCAUUCAGGCAAAUGACAAGUACACUAAAUAUUCACCCACUCGAUACAUAUUUAUUGAGUGCCGGGAGCCACGCUAAGUGCUGAGGCUACUGCCUUGCUCAAAGCAGACAAAGUCCCGUGGUUGGAGAUUGGAAUUGUUUUAGGAUGCCAGUGAGAAGCCUAAACCGCAGGAAGACACACGGUCUCAACCACAUGCUAUAGCAAUUACUUAUAUAUAACAUUUCCCUAACCAGACAACAUGCUGGCAUUGGCAGAUGUUAAAUGAACCAAACUGAAAUACAAUACACUUCUCAAUUUAACCCCUCUCCAGAAAGAAGCACAUGAAUUUGGCAGCUCCUUUAAAGAUGCUAAUAAGUUUGAAACAUCCUUUCUAUUGCCUCAUGGCUCUAUCACGGGAAGUACUUACAGUUUUGGAGUUACCGUUCAUCUAAAUUCUUUGAUAUAAUUACAUUGCUAGGACACUUUUUUUUUUUUUUUUGAGUUGGAGUCUCGCUCUGUUGCCCAGGCUGGAGUGCAGUGGCACGAUCUCGGCUCACUGCAACCUCUGCCUCCUGAGUUCAAGCGAUUCUCCUGCCUCAGCCUCCCAAGUAGCUGGGACUACAGGCGCCACCAUCACGCCUGGUUAAUUUUUUGUAUUUUUAGUAGAGACAAGGUUUCACUAUGUUGGCCAGGCUGUUCUUGAACUCCUGACCUCAGGUGAUCUGCCCGCUUCAGCCUUCUAAAGUACUGAGAUUACAGGUGUGAGCCAUCAUGCCCGGCGUUUUUUUUUUUUCAGUCUCACUCUGUUGCCCAGGCUGCAGUGCAGUGGCACGAUCUCGGCUCACUACAACCUCCGCCUCCUGGGUUCAAGCAAUUCUCCUGCCUUAGCUUCCCAAGUAGCUGGGAUUACAGGCGCCCACCACCACACCCGGCUAAUUUUUGUAUUUUUAGUAGAGACAGGGUUUCACCAUGUUGGCCAGGCUGGUCUUGAACUCCUGACCUUAAGUGAUCCAUCCGCUUCAUCCUCCCAAAGGCAUGAGCCGUCCUGUCCGGCCAUGAUAUAUUCGUUUUUUGUUUUGUUUUUGUUUUUUUUUUUUGAAACGGAGUUUCACUCUUGUUGCCCAGGCUAGAGUGCAGUGGCACAAUCUCCGCUCACUGCAACCUCCGCCUCCUGGGUUCAAGUGAUUCUCCUGCCUCAACCUCCCAAGUAGCUGGGAUUACAGGAGCCCACCACUAUGCCUGGCUAAUUUUUUUGUAUUUUUAGUAAAAACGGGGUUUUACCAUGUUGGCCAGGCUGGUCUCAAACUCCUGACCUCAGGUGAUCCUCCCGCCUCAGCCUCCCAAAGUGCUGGGAUUACAGGCAUGAGCCACUGCACCCCGCCAUAUUAGUUUUUUUUGUUGUUGUUGUUGUUUUUAAGACACAGGCUCUUGCUAUGUUGUCCAGGCUGGCCUCAAACUCCUGGGCUGAAGCUGUCCUCCUGCCUCAGCCUCCAGAGUGGCUGAGAUGACAAAGAUGCAUGCACCAGGGCACACUUAUCAUGUAAAUUAUUUGGGGUGGAUCAUGCCAGUUCCUAAAUCAAAUAAUUAACUGGUUUUCCUUAAUCUAGAGACAGUAACAAAUAAUGUGGAUCUCAUUCAUCACUCAAGAUGUUAGGCGCUAUGGCUGGGUUCUGUGGCUCACGCCUGUCAUCCCAGUGCUUUGGGAGGCUGAGGUGGGAGGAUGGCUUGAACCCAGGAGGCCAAGGCUGCAGUGAGCCAUGAUGGUGCCACUGCACUACAGCCUGGGCAACAGAGCAAGACCCUGUCUUUCUUUCUUUUCUUUCUUUCUUUUUUUUUUUUUUUUUUUGAGACAGAGUUUUGGUCUGUCACCCAGGCUGGAGUACAGUGGUCUGAUCUUGGCUCACUGCAGCCUCCACCUCGUGGGUUCAAGUGAUUCUGCUGCCUCAGCCUCCCAAGUAGCUGGGACCACAAGCGCGUGCCACCACGCCUGGUUAAUUUUUUUGUUGUAUUUUUUGUAGAGAUGGAGUUACACCAUGUUGGCUGGGCAGAUGUCAAACUCAAGUGACCUCAAGUGAUUUGCCUGCCUUGGCCUCCCAAAGUGCUGGGAUUACAGGCAAGAGCCAUGGCGCCCAGCCAUAUCUCACCUCCUAAAAUAAAACAAAAUCAACCAGGCAGGAUGGCACACACUUGUAGUUCAGCUCCUCAGGAGGCUGCAUUGAAAGGAUUGCUUGAGCUCGGGAGAUCAAGGCUGCUCUGAGCUGUGAUUAUGCCGUGGCACUCUAGACAGGGCAACAGAAAAAAAAAAAAAAAGAAUGUCACAGCAGCGAAAUGAAUGAAUUAUAGUCACAUGUAACAAUGGCUGAGUCUAAUAUGGAGCUAUAAUACCAACUACAGGAAGACAGAUAGACAUGUAUAUAUAUAUGUGUGUGUGUGUGUGUGUGUGUGUAUAAUUUAUAUUAAUAAUUAUGUUCAGCCAGGUGCUGUGGCUCACGCCUAUAAUCUCAGCACUUUGGAAGGCUGAGGCGGGCAGAUCAUCUGAGGUCAGGAGUUCGAGACCAGCCUGGUCAACAUGGUGAAACCCUGUCUCUACUAAAAAUACAAAAAUUGGCGUGGUGGCAUGCGCUUGUAAUUCCAGCUACUCAGGAGGCUGAGGCAGGAGAAUCACUUGAACCCAGGAGGUGGAGGUUGCAGUGAACUGAGAUGGCACCAUUGCACUCCAGCCUAGGCAACAGAGCAAGACUCCAUCUCAAAAAAUAAAUAAAUAAAUAAAUAAAAAUAAUUAUGUUCAUACAUAACUUUAAAAAUAAAAGAUCCAAACCAGGAAAAAUAAAUAUAAGUGGUAAAACUACAAAGAAAAGCAACUAAAUUACCAGAAAAGCAAGGCUGUGGUUACGUCUGGGGGAAAGAAGGAGGCCAAGGCUGAGAGUCUGCAUGUUCCAGGAUUCUGGGCUCUGGCAGUGAUUAAUUUCAUGACCUGGGUGGUAUGUACCUAGGUGUUCAGCUUACUAUUACUUGACAAACUGUACAUAAUGGUUUUUGUGCUUUCCUCUAUGCUUAUUUCGUGAGAAAAUAUAAAUGUAAAAAAAAGCUGACAAAAGCAAGUCUCAGCACAUUGUUGUUUUAAAUGUAAUAGAUUAGUAUACAAUUUAUUUACAAGAUGAACAGUACACAACAUAAUGAGAUAUAAAAGAACAUAAAUUGAACUAGAAUGAUAUACCCCAAGUUCACAAUAGUGGUUGCUUCUGGAGAGUGAGAAAGUGGGGAUUAAUGUAUAAUUAUAUGCCAGGUGCAGUAGCUCACACCUGUAAUCCCAGCACUUUGGGAGGCCAAGACAGGAGGAUCGCUUUGAGACCAGCCUGGUCAACAUACUGAGACUGCCAUCUCUACAGAAAAUGUAAAAAAUUAGCCGGGUGUGGUGGCAUGCACUUGUAGUCCCAGCUACUCGAGAAGUUGAGGUAAAAGGAUCACUUGAGCCUGGGAGGUCAAGGAUACAGUGAACUGAGAUCACAUCACCGUGCUCUAGCCUGGGCGACAGAGACAGACCUUGUCUCAAAUAAAUAAAUAAAUUAAAUAUUUUUUAAAAGGCCAGGCCUGGUGGCUCACGCCUGUAAUUCCCAGCACUUUGGGAGACCGAGGUGGGCAGAUCACGAGGUCAAUAGAUCGAGACCAUCCUGGCCAAAAUGGUGAAACCCCAUCUCUACUAAAGAUACAAAAAUUAGCUGGGCAUGGUGGCUUACACCUGUAGUCCCAGCUAUUCAGGAGGCUGAGGCACAAGAAUCACUUGAACCUGGGAGGCGGAGGUUGCAGUGAGCCGAGAUCGUGCCACUGCACUCCAGCCUGGGUGACAGAGUGAGAUUCUGUCUCAAAAAAAGAAAAAAAGAGGCCAGGUGCGGUGGCUCAUGCCUGUAAUCCCAGCACUUUGGGAGGCCGAGGCGGGUGGAUCAUGCGGUCAGGAGAUCGAGACCAUCCUGGCUGACAUGGCGAAACCCCAUCUCUACUAAAAAUAUAAAAAAUUAGCCAGGCGUGGUGGUGGGCGCCUGUAGUCCCAGCUACUUGGGAGGCUGAGGCAGGAGAAUGGUGCGAACCUGGGAGGCGGAGCUUGCAGUGAGCCGAGAUCGCACCACUGCACUUCAGCCUGGAUGACAGAGCAAGACUCCGUCUCAAAAAAAAAAAAAUAUAUAUAUAUAUAUAUAUAUAUAAUUAUAUAAUAAUAUGUAAUUCUAAUCUAGUGGUUUUUAAGGUAUUCACAGGGUUGUGCGACCACUACCGCUAUCUACUUUUGGAAUAUUUUCAUCACUUCGAAAGGAACCUGAUACCCAUUAGUUGUCACUCUUCCUUUCCCCACUCCCCCAGCCCCUGGCAAGCACUUCUCUGCUUUCUGUCUCUCUGAAUUUGCCUGUUCUGGACAUUUCCUAUAAGUGGAAUCAUACCCUAUGUAGUCUUUUGUGAUGCACGACCUUCACUUCCCACGAUGUCUUCAAGGUUUUUCCAUGUGACAACCUGUGUCAAUACAUCAUUCUGUUGGAUGGCUGAAUCAUAUUCCAUUGUGCGGUAGAUCACAUUUUGUUUAUUCAUUCAUCAGUGGAUGGACACUUGCAUUGUUUCCACUUUUUGGCUUUUAGGAAUAAUGCUAGUAUCAACAUUUGUGUACAAGUUUUUGUGUGGACAUAAUGUUUCAUUUCGUUUGGUGCUACACCCAGAAGUGGAAUCGCUCUGUCGUAUGGUAACGGUGUUUCAUAUUUUGAGGAACUGCCAAACUGUCUUCCGAAGUGGCUGCACCAUUUCACAUUCCCAUCGGUAAUACGUGAGGGUCUUAAUUUCUCCACAUCUUUAACAUUUAUGAUUGUCUUUUUAACUUUAGCUAUUCUAGUGAGUGAGAUCACUCUGAUCCGAUUUGCAUUUCCCUAAUAAUUAAUGAUGUUGAACUCAGGAUGUCUUUGUUAAAUGCAGAAAUAACCAUGUAAAUUUCCAGAUUAAAUCGCCACAUCAAAAUUUUUAUAUGAUUAAUUUGAACAAUUAAUACUUUAGUUAUUUUCUGAUUACAAAAGCAGUAUAUACUCAAAUGAUUAUUCCCAAAGUCAGGGUAAUCCUUUGAGGGGAAGAGAGAGAGAGCCAGGAUCGGAGAAGAGGGACAUUGGUCAUUUAAAGCGAUGGCAUGGCCAGGCCCAGUGGCUCACACCUGUAAUCCCAGCACCUUGGGAGGCCAAGGUGGGAGGAUCACUUGAGGUAAGGAGUUUGAGACCAGCCUGGCCAAUAUGGUGAAAUACCAUCUCUACAAAAAUACAAAAAUUAGCUGGGCAUGGUGGUGGGUGCCUGUAAUCUCAGCUACUUGGGAGGCUGAGCAGGAGAAUCCUUUGAACCCUGGAGGCAGAGGUUGCAGAGAGCCGAGAUCAGGCCACUGUACUCCAGCCUGGGGAACAAGGGCAAAACUCCAUCUAAAAAAAAAAAGAAAAGAAUGAUGGCAAUGUCUUCUUCUUGACCUGGGUCAGUUACACAGAUUGACUUUGUAAUUAUUAUUUAAAUUACAUCUGUACAUUUUUUUUUUUUUUUUGAGAUGGAGUCUCGCUCUGUCACCCAAGCUGGAGUGCAG